AUUUUUUGGAGAGUUUGAUCCUGGCUCAGGACGAACGCUGGCGGCGUGCCUAAUACAUGCAAGUCGAGCGCGGGAAGCAUCCAGAUCCCUUCGGG
rnacentral:rRNA from 1 species